UACGAAGGGGGCUAGCGUUGCUCGGAAUCACUGGGCGUAAAGCGCACGUAGGCGGAUUGCUAAGUCAGGGGUGAAAUCCUGGAGCUCAACUCCAGAACUGCCUUUGAUACUGGCGAUCUCGAGUCCGGGAGAGGUGAGUGGAACUGCGAGUGUAGAGGUGAAAUUCGUAGAUAUUCGCAAGAACACCAGUGGCGAAGGCGGCUCACUGGCCCGGUACUGACGCUGAGGUGCGAAAGCGUGGGAGCAAACAGGG
rnacentral:rRNA from 1 species